rnacentral:rRNA from 1 species
GAUGAACGCUAGCGGGAGGCUUAACACAUGCAAGUCGAGGGGCAGCACGAGGUAGCAAUACUUUGGUGGCGACCGGCAGACGGGUGAGUAACGCGUAUGUAACCUGCCCUGUACAGGGGGAUAACCCGGAGAAAUUCGGACUAAUAUCCCAUGGUAAUAUUGAAAGGCAUCUUUUAAUAUUUAAAGUUCCGGCGGUACAGGAGGGGCAUGCGUAACAUUAGCUGGUUGGUAAGGUAACGGCUUACCAAGGCGAUGAUGUUUAGGGGUCCUGAGAGGGUGAUCCCCCACACUGGUACUGAGACACGGACCAGACUCCUACGGGAGGCAGCAGUGAGGAAUAUUGGUCAAUGGGCGCAAGCCUGAACCAGCCAUCCCGCGUGCAG